CAAGUCGAACGCGAAAGUCCCGCAAGGGAUCAGUAGAGUGGCAAACGGGUGAGUAACGCGUGGGCGACCUACCUCUGAGUGGGGGAUAACCUUCCGAAAGGAGGGCUAAUACCGCAUGACAUCCCAUGUUUGGAUACAUGGACAUCAAAGCCGGGGAUCGCAAGACCUGGCGCUUGGAGAGGGGCCCGCGUCCGAUUAGCUAGUUGGUGAGGUAAUGGCUCACCAAGGCUCCGAUCGGUAUCCGGCCUGAGAGGGCGGACGGACACACUGGGACUGAGACACGGCCCAGACUCCUACGGGAGGCAGCAGUGGGGAAUUGUUCGCAAUGGGCGCAAGCCUGACGACGCAACGCCGCGUGGAGGAUGAAGACCUUCGGGUCGUAAACUCCUUUCGACCGAGAUGAAUUCCUGCCGGCCUAACAUGCCGGCGGGGUGACAGUAUCGAGGGAAGAAGCCCCGGCUAACUCCGUGCCAGCAGCCGCGGUAAUACGGGGGGGGCAAGCGUUGUUCGGAAUUACUGGGCGUAAAGGGUUCGUAGGUGGCUUGUUAAGUCAGACGUGAAAUCCCUCGGCUCAACCGGGGAACUGCGUCUGAGACUGAUGAGCUCGAGUGCAGGAGAGGAACGCGGAAUUCCAGGUGUAGCGGUGAAAUGCGUAGAUAUCUGGAGGAACACCGGUGGCGAAGGCGGCGUUCUGGACUGCAACUGACACUGAGGAACGAAAGCCAGGGGAGCAAACGGGAUUAGAUACCCCGGUAGUCCUGGCCCUAAACGAUGAAUGCUUGGUGUGGUGGGUAUCGAUCCCUGCCGUGCCGG
rnacentral:rRNA from 1 species